GUGGGGUCAGAGGAUUUAGAAAUAUUUAAAGAUAAAGUUUUUAGGGAAAGGAAGCCUAAACAAUGAUAUUUUGUUAUUUAAAUUGUUAGAAUUUCUGUGGGAGGAUAUGAGAAGAAACAAAGCCUGUUUGCCAAGGUUGUAUAACUGGAGAAGCUGUUUUAUUCUUCUUUCCCAGAAAAUGAAUUCUCCGCAGGCGUUGUGCACUGAUUUCCUUCUGAUGUUUCUUACGUGUUUGAAGACGUCUUGCCACUUUAAAACACAAUAACACAAGGAGUGUCUCUACAGUACAGAGGAUAUCCUCUUCACUUUCCUUUUUGAGGAGAAACCUCCAACAUGGCACCAGGAAGUUUGACCCUCCAGACUUGUUUGGUUUAGAGCACUUCAGAGGGCCUCAGGAUAAAUCGUGUCUCCUGAAAAAAGCAUUAGUAUUUGACGACCUGGAACAAGCCACUCUCUUUCUCCAGAAUGACUGACCCCACCUUUAAAGGCCCAGUGUGUGGGAUUUAGUGGUGAAAUCGCAGAUUGCAAGUAACUGAAAACAGCAGUGUUACUUCUGCUGAUGUAAACAUUUUCCAAACUCAUCACCCUCUUUCCUCUUCCCUUCGGUUGCCACAAUCAGCACGUGUGUGUCCAGAGCCCGAGGUGUAAGGCUAAACCUGUGCUAACACCGAACAGCUAAUAGGUUCAUCCAUCAUGGAGGAAAUGAGACUCUCCCCCGCUCUCUCUCUCUCUCUCUCUUUCUCUCUCUCUCUCUCUCUCUCUGCCCUGUCUCGCUCAGCCAACUCUCGAGCCCAGACACACUCACACACUUACAGGCAAAAUUACUGCAAAGUUCUCCACCAGGGUAUCCUUUCUUUAUUAUUCUAAGUGAACAAGGGGGCCCUUCAUAGUCAACGUAAUUUAUCCAGUGUCUCAUUUCGGAUAAAAAAGCUAAAAAAUGAAGCGAAAGGAGUGAGAAGGUCGUUGUGGUUAGAAACCUCCAAACCUCAUGCCUUCCUGAGCGGCCUGAGUGUGGAACCGAGGCCAGAGGGUCAUGAGGAGGCCCAUUCAGUCCUGGCUCUGUUUUGACAUGGGCAAAAACACUGAUCCAUCAGUAGGACCAUUUACAAACCCUUGCGCUCCUGCACUUUGUUCCCGUCACUUCUUAAUAAAUUUCUGGCCUGUUGUUUCAGAAUAUUAAGCGACGGCUCUAAAAACAUCUUGAACAUCUUAUUUUCUUAACACGAUGUUAAAGCAAA